rnacentral:rRNA from 1 species
UACGGAGGGUGCGAGCGUUGUCCGGAAUCACUGGGCGUAAAGGGCGCGUAGGCGGCCGUGUAAGUCACUUGUGAAAUCCCCGGGCUCAACCUGGGAACUGCAUUUGUGACUGCAUGGCUAGAGUACGGUAGAGGGGGAUGGAAUUCCGCGUGUAGCAGUGAAAUGCGUAGAUAUCGUGAGGAACACCGAUGGCGAAGGCAGCCCCCUGGGCUAACACUGACGCUCAGGCACGAAAGCGUGGGGAGCAAACAGG